rnacentral:rRNA from 1 species
UCCUACGCCCACGCCACCCUGAACGUGCCGGAUCCCGUCUGAUCUCGGAAGCUAAGCAGUGUCGGGCCUGGUUAGUCCUUGGAUGGGAGACCACCCAGGAAGACCAGGUGCUGUAGGCG